rnacentral:antisense_RNA from 1 species
UACUUUCUAGCUGAACACUCAGCUUCAUCCACUCCAGGACAGCUGAGCAUCUGGGGCUUCAGAAGCUGAUGGCAUAGUUAUGAGAGGGGUGAAGACCGUGACUGCAUUUCCAACAGACCCUGAGGACAAUUGGGAAGAAUGUUCUGGUGAAACGCAACUCCAUCAACACCUCACCAGUCCGAUCUUAUCCUCUACCUCUUCUCUCAGUGACUCCUUCCUCUCAUAGGAGUAAAACUAGAAAAAAACGAUAGAAUGCGAUUUAUGCUGAUUCCUGGUCAAGCGAACACAAGCCAGCCCACUGAACCAGAAGAAAAGAGUAAUAGAACUCUUGAAAGAGAAGAUAAAAUCCACUGUAUCCAGAUAUUUCUGGGAAAAAAAAAUAAAAACAAACAACUAUUAAAAAUUUAAAAUAACUUUUAGAAAGCUUCCAUUAGUGCUAUGAAAUAGAAAGAGUCUUGGAGAACAGGAUUUGUUCACGUUAAGUUGGGCAAGUCUUCUCUUCCUGGGCUCAGUUUCCUCAUCUGCAGUGCAUGAGGUCAUUGAACUCCAUAAGCCCUAAGGAUCCUUCCGGUUUCAAAACUCCCAUGACGUCUGAUAUAGAACACUUACCUUGACAAAGCUCUUCAAGUCAUUUUCACCUUCACAUAUUGAUUUAUCUGUGUAGUGACAUUUAAAGUGAAUUCUAAUCAGGAAAUAAAAGGCUGAUUUCUUCAGUAGAAGAAAUUGACACAAAAAAAUGUGAAUACAAGAGAGAAACAAAAGCCUGAUUACCAGAAGUCGAUCUAUAGGAUACAGAAUGUGGCAUUGUACAAAGCAGAAAUUCCUUUCUGAAAUUUAAGAAGAAAUCAUUGUAACAUCAGGAAUAAAUAGGAAAAAGGAGAAAGCAUUAAGAUUUUCCAGUCAAGGAGAGAUCUGGAAACAUAAUGAUUUACCUCCUGCCAUAGCAAGCAUGGUAUAGCAAAUUUUAUAAUUUUGGGUAGAUCAAAAUUAUUGUGUGAUGAAGACAUAAUUAAAAAAAGAUUUGACUCUGUCUUUAACAUUGUUUAAGGAAGGUAUUAUUUUCUUAAAAAUCAAGAACAAAUCAAGGACCAAAUAUCUAUAACUAAAGCACAAAUUAAGUGUUCAGAAGAAUAUUGGGGAGAAAAAGCAGAAUGCAAAGGGAAAAAUGCCUUAUGGUAAGAGCACAGGAUUAAUAGUAAAUGAGGAAGAACUAUGACUCCUAAAGAAUUAUAAAUUUUAAAUUGUAUGAAAAAUAAUAUUGGUAAAACAGAAAAACUAAGAGAUAAUUAUAAGUAAAUAAAAAUGAAACAAGAUGUGUUGCCAUUAUUAUUAUAUAUCAGCUGCCCCAGUAAAGCAAUAAUUCAAGGUCAAAUAACUUAGAAUAGUCAGCACCUAAUAGUCUUGGUAAAUAGAGCAGGUCAAUAAAUAUAUAUUGAUCGGUUGAUUGAAUAAGAAAUGCUUGCAGUUAUUUUAGGAAAAUCAAAGUUGCUUAGGAAGUUAUGCAGGUAAUUUCUUAAAACUAAGCAAGUAUAAAUUUCCUUUUGAAACAAUAUAAAAUAAAGUCUUUCCUAAUAGUUACCUUUAAGUCCUAAACAAUGAAAUCUUUUAUAAGAUAAUGUUUAUAUAUAGCAAAAUCUAAAUUGGAAAUAGAUAAAAUGUGGAAAUAUAAAUGUGCUCUGUAGAAAGAAAUUAUAUUUUAUAUCUUUGAUGGUUUUUGAUAGGUGGUUGGAAUAGGGAAAAUUCUGUGUGAACAAUUUACGAAAAAAAUGCUAUACUUUCCUCUAAACCAAUAUUUGGACAUAUAAAUAUUUUCCAACUGGGUUCAGUUUUUGAUAUGGCCAGUCAAAGAUAAUGAUAUGUUAUUUCAAGACCCUAAGUCAAAAUAAAAUUGAUUUGAAAUAGUCUGAAUUAACGAGAUGCCUUCCAUCUUGUAAGUUUCAACAUUGUCAUGUCAAGUGAUAAGAUAAUGAUGGACCUUUCCUUACCAAAUAUUUUACUAAUUAACUUACCAAGCUUGGCCUGUUCAGUCAGUAUAGACACUAUGUGCCGGUGCCUUGGAUACAAAAAUUAGCAAAAUGUGAUUCCUUUAAAUAAUGAACUCAAAACACAUAUCAUUAAAUUUAGAAGUGGUAAGCUUACAGGAAAAAGAAAGAUCUGCUGGGAGUGAAUAAAAGCAAAAAGAAAAAA